GCAUUAAUGGGGUAGUGGUAACCUGGGUCGUUGCCAUUAAUAUGUUCGGUAGACUGACUCGACCCGCCGGGGGUUCGAUUCCCCCUUAAUGCA